CCAACGUGGGCAUCCAGCAAGUUUAUUCUUAUCUGGCUCUGUCCGUGUGGCAUGUGGGAGCGUAGACCUUUGGUCUGUGACGUACAGUCCCAUUCCAUGACGUUGGAGAGCAAGUGUCCCCAGCUUUUAAGCUGAUGACUGCAUCGUGUAUAUUCCUAGACCUUCUCAGUCUACAGUGGUUGGGAAGAUAAACCAUGCGCGGUACAAUA